AACUUUAAUUUGUGGGGCAUUUUGACAAUUGAUCGACAACUUUAUAGUGGAUUGAGGAUGCAUAUAAGAACUAGUUAUUACGAUUACGUAUACACAUACAUAUAUGCAAAAAAAACUAAAAAGUAAUAAAAACCUUGACAUGAUCAACACGUUGUUUUGGGCACACACAAAUUAUAAUACGAGAUGUACGUGUGAUGACAAAUCAAGCUGAGAUCUGUCCACUCGACGAACAUGUAUGUGUACUCAAAUUGCUGUAAUAUUUUUACAAUACGACUUCCAGAAAAAAGUUUGCUUGAUGAUAAAUCAUAAUAAUUAAAUCGUUCAAGAUUGUCAAUAAAGUCUAGAAUAGGAAUAACGUCUGGAAUAUGAUCCAAUACUCAACAUGACAUCUACAGAGUUUGUAAAAGCACAAAAUAUCUGUACAUCAAUGAGCUCACUCAAGUAUGUAUUGGCACACACAUUAAAAUCGAUAAUAAUCUGCGUCACAUUUAUUCCGUGAGAAAUUGUAGAUCAGCAUAAUUUCGUACCUUUGCAUAUUAUUCACUGCAGAAAUAACGGCAGAGAGUCAAUGCACGAAAUCUAAAUCUGGUUGAACUCCUACUGAUUCCAAAUGACGUCCAAUAUUUCUUGGAACCGGUUCUUUGAAGCCGUGUUACAGCUCACCUGGAGUUCUUGGCUUGUGUUUCUCAGGUUCUAAAGUGGAGCUUGGGAAAUCCACUUCUAAUCCAGUGGUCACGGUCACAGCAGACAUGACCAUUUUUGCAACAACUAGCAACAUGUCCUUCUCUCAAGUAUUCCGAAAACUUUUUUCCUCCCAAAAUUAUAACCCCAAUAGAAUUAUUAUGGGGAAAAUUGCACUUGGAUCGGAUGGAUCGGAUUUCCCGUCCUCCAAGAAAAUUAUUUUAGGCCACAGAUAAGUCCACUUCAGUCACUCAGCACAGGUAAAUGUCUACUGGCUGCUUCCUUUCUUUGGUAACACGUUGCAAACGGAUGGAGGAAAGACAGACAGUAAAGGAGAAGGGACUACGAUUUGAUAACUUCUGGCCUUAUCGCUACACAUGCUAGCCAAAUGUCUUACUUUAUGAGAAGUACAAGGUAAGGCACUAUGCAGACAAUAAUAACGACAUGCCACGGCAGACACAGUGGUCACAUGCAGUUAAUCCAAGCCGGCUAUAAAUCCAACAGGGUCUAAUCUGCUAAUAUAUGCACACAAUGCUGAAUCCUAUUGUUGAUCUGAUCUUCUUUCCUAAGUAGUAGACAAAGUUUAAUCAGAUGAAUGUCCUUUCGAGUAUAACAAUGCGUACAUGUAAUGUCUAUUUCUAUCAUAAUGCGUAUUAUACCUGUUCCCCAUCUAGGCUGACCCUCUUUCUCGUCCAGAUGAGUCCAAAGGCCAAAAUAUAACCUACAUUUUUUGCACAUCAAGUUCGAUUUGAGCCAAACUCGCCCCCUAAAGAUACUGACCAUUUAUAAUCAUUAUAGCAAAAUAUAAUACCUCGCGAGAUGAUCG